CUUCCAUAUGCCAAUGGUGCAGCCCUGAAAAGACCCCCCCAAAAAAGGUAAAAAAAAAUGUUGCUCCAGAUCUAUUAAAUUUAUUUCUUAAGCCAUUGAAAGGCCAUGAAGGACCCAGAGUUUGAAAAACACUCUGCUGGGUGUUCUAACAUUUGCUUGUGGUACUUAUUUACACUUUUUUUUUUUUUUACUAGGUCAAAACUGGAGCAAAUUCCUUGCUGGUCAGCCUUGGCCCUGAUCGGCUUGGGCGCCUCUGCCCAGUUCCUUCCAGUUUUCCUGACCACCUCCCAGGCGUGCACAAGUCUGGUCUAG
rnacentral:lncRNA from 1 species